ACUUCAUUAAACCUAGAAGUAGAAAGCGAGCUUGGCUUUAAUGAGGCUUCUCCCCAAAAAUUCAGCUUGUCCUUUCCCAGCCCAACCCUAACCACCCAACAUAGCUCAAACCCUAACCGCCACCACCAGGUCUACUAGCACAUAAAUUUACAACACAGCCCCAACAAACCACCCAAAAAGAACUGCAACCCAAGGAGAUUACUGUACUUUAAACACAAAUACAAAAUCAGAGGGGGUUUCGUCAGAGACCAUGUUUUUGCAAGAACCAGUGUUAUAUGUAGCAAGUGCAGCUUUAAGGUGUUUGGUAUUGUUUGCUGAGCUCCGGAAACCUGAUCCGAAUCGUGAAGCAUCAAAGAAAGCCCUUGAACAUAAGAAAGAAAUCACUAAGCAUUUGGGUCGUCCCUUUAUCCGAACAAACCCUUAUGAGGUGUGUGUGUGUGUGUCAAAGUUUCUAUUUUCGUUGAAAAGAUUGAAUUUUUUUUGCAUUUUUUGAUUUGGGUUUUUUUUUUUGGGUUUUAGAGGAUUAUGUGAAUCUUGGUUCUAGGGGUAAUUAAUGGAAUUUAGGUUUGUUUUGGUUUAUUGUUUUCUGGAGGAUUCUGUGAAUUUUGGUUAUAUGGUCAGAUAAUGAAACGAAGAAUUUUGUGAAUUUGGAUUAUAUGGUUAGUUAAUGGCAUAUCGGCUUUGUUUUUAUUAUGUGCUAUUGGUUUUAUUAUAUGCUUGAAUUGUCAUUUAUCUGCAAAAGUUUGAGUUUUGUUUGUGAUAGUGGGGUUGGGGUUGAUAUUGCAAUAAGGGAUGUGGGUAGUUUAUUGUAGGGAUUGGGGGGGUCUGGGUGUUUUGAUGCAGAUAGGUGCUUUAAUCGGUGUUUGGGAUAUGAGGGAGUGAUUACUUGUGCCAAAUGGGAUGGGAUUAAGUUUCCAGUUUUGCUGUGAUGAAUGAAGUUGCUUUUUGGUAGUUGAAACUAAGUUCAUUUCAGAUUGAGUUAUUUGUUAAACUUUUGAAAUGAUGGGUUGGAGCUUAGGCCUCUGGGUUGAUGAAAAGUUCAAAUUCUUGUGUGACAAUGGAGAUGGGGGCCAUGAGAUUAAGAUUGCGAUGAGGGAUCUUGGUGGUUUAGUGGGUUAUUGUAGGGAAUAGGGAUUAGGGGAUUUGGGUGUUUUAGUGAAGAUAGGUAAUUUAAUCAGUUUUUGGAACGGCGGGGAGUGACUCCUUGUGCUGAAUAGGGUGUGUUUAAGUUUCCAGUUCUGCUGGGAUGCAUGAAGUUGUUUUGUGUGUGUUGGUAGAAACUAAGUUCAAUUCUGAUUGAGUUGUAUAUUGAGCUUUUGUACUGGAGCGCUGGAGUUUAGGCCUCUGGGUCGAUGUUAUAGCAUGCUUGAAUUGUCAUUUAUUUGCUAGAAUUUUGAAUUUUGUGUUAUAAUAGGAUGAGGACCAUAAGGGUAAGACUUCAAUAAGGGAUGUGUGUGGUUUGGUGGGUUAUUGUAGGGAACAGUGAUUGUAGAAUUAGGGUGUUUUGGUGAAUAUAGGUGCUUCCAUCAGUUUUGGGGAUGUUGGGGAGUGAUUGCUCAUGCUGAAUGGGAUAUGAUUAAAUUUCAAGUUUUGUUGGAUGGAUGGAGUUAUUUUUGGUUGGUGGAAACUGGAGACCAAGUUCGUUUCUGAUAUAUUGGAACUUUUGUACUAUUGUGAUGACCUUGGGUUGGUGCUAUAGUACUGUUGUCAUUGUUUAUACAACCAUAAACUGUUAUAAUAUUUCCUGGUGUCUUCAAACGUGCCAUUUGUUUUCUAGGCUGUCUAUACUUUGUUGGGUGCUACCAUGCAACAAAUACUCAAAGUUUCUAACGUCAACUGAAUAAAUGAAAAUAUCCAUCAAUUGGAGUAUAUUUGAGUCUCUUCUAUAUCAUAAACUAAUGGCACAUGAUUAUUAGUUACAUUUAUAUUAGUCCACCUUUUUUGAAAAUGAUACUAUGUGAACGCCGAUGGCUGCUAUGUUCAGUAAUAGCCUCCUGCGUGACUGACUUGACAGGUUCAUAGUUGGAAGAAAUUAAAUUUGAAGACUUGGCCUUGAACCAAUAUGAUUGCUAUAACUGGGAAACAUAGAUAUUAGUUCUUUCUAUGCCUAAUGAAAUUUGGAUCGAAAACCAAAUUUUCAAAUAUGAAGCCUUCUGAUGGCAAUUGCUUUGUGGAAGAUUUAAACUGCUUCGUAACAAUCAAGCCUAUCCUCUAAACACUAUCCAAUAUGGCCAUGUUCUCAUGUUGAAAAUAUAAUUGAUUGGAAUAGAGGCUUUAAAAUUCAUGGUCGGUUUAAUGGUUUAUCAAUAUGCUGCAAUUGUAUAUUUUUAUUUUUGAAUCAAUUGGAUGAUUGGAAUCUAUCAAGCAAGCUUUGUAUGAACUGGUUAUUCUUCCUCUGCGGAAACCUGAGCUCUUCUCACAUGAGAAACUUCUUGGUCCACAAAAGGGGGUAUUGUUAUAUGGACCUCCAGGCACCGGGAAGACCAUGCUUGCAAAAACUAUUAUCAGAGAGUUUGGAGCUGUUUUUAUAAAUAUGAGGAUCUCUAAUCUGAUGAGCAAGUGGUUCGGCGACGCGCAAAAGCUCGGUCACCCCAUCCCACAAGCAGCAAUCUGUACCCUCUUUCCACGACUCUGUCUUGGGAUGCUGGCAAUUCCAUGAAGCAGAGCUAUUAAUGGAAAAGGAUUCUUUGAAUUGGAGCAAAGAAAGAUUUUGGUCAUGAGCACAAAAAUGAGAUGAAGAAAUUGUUGAAAGGAAAUGGAAGAGAAACAGAAUGAAAGAGAGGGACGGUGGUGAAAACCCCAUGUUUGGCCUUACAGGAUUUAGUAGUAUAUUUGGGAGAGAUGAGGAAUAAAGAAAGGCAUUGUUUGUAUAUUUAGUAGUAUAUUUAUAGACAAAGCAAUCUUAGAUUGUAUACUGACGAAAUCAAAGUCACUGACCGCCCAAAUCUCAAGUACAAGAGUGAGUAAUACGUGCGCAAAGCAAUGGGGGCACUAAAGACUUUGCACUUAUAUAUCGUUUCUCGUGACCCAAAAGUACUCUUUGUGUGCGCUCGGUAAUGUAUAUCAGUUUAAAAAUCGUGACAGCUUAAUUUGAAUGUUCAGAGAUGCUUUUUCCAAAUUGUAUUUAGCAAUGAGAUUUAUGCGUAGAUUGCUUUGCCCACUAAAAUAUAAUUUCCAAGAAAUUCAAGCCACAAAAUCCGCAAUACAUAGGAAGAAAACUUCUUGAAGAUUUACACUCGUAGUUUACUCACAGCAGAGUUAAAGAGUCAUCCUCACCUUUUUUUGUCGACUUCAAUCCAAUCCGGUCAACACGUUCUGGCAAUAGCUUUAUUGAACCGUUACUAGAAAACUGACAAACAAUGAAGAAUGGAGUUUGAAGGUUCUUGCACUCAAGAUGCUGUGGGAUCGGUCCUCCGAAAAGAUCUUUCUUUUUCAGCAUCAACAAGGGAAAAGCAAUCUUCAUUUGGUCUGUUCUUGAUCUCCAAGUCUUCGGAACUUGGAUGUAUAGAUAUUGUCCCCUCUUCAUGUGGUGCUGAAUAUGGAACUGAAGGUUCACUUGCAAAUAUUUCCACACAAGAGUGAGCGUCGGAAACACGGCAGUACUAAUUUCCAAAAUUGACAUUUUUGCAGCAAGUCUUUGUGCUAACAGAUACAGUUCAUGCUCUAAUUAGAACUUCCUUUGUAGCUCGUCUGAUGGCAGCUGUUCUCGGGGACAUCUACCCCGCUAUUAUUCCUUGCUGGCUUAUAAAUUUAAUACUAAUUGGAUCCCCCUUCGCAUGUACUGAUAGAUUAUUCUUGCUAUUAUUAACAAGAAUACGUGACUGUUUACUUGAAGGGUUAAGCAAUUUAUAUGUUUCCCAGAAGAAGAAGAAGCAUUUCAUAGCUAAUAGAUACAGUUUGUGCUCUUCCUUUGCAGCUCGUCUGAUGGGAAGUGUACGUUUCUGGGGACUUCUACCACUCGUCCUCGUCUUCUAUAAAACUCCAUGCCAACAAAAGGCAAUAAUGCAACCCUUGGUACAGAUUUUUGCUGGAUAUUUCCACGCAAGGAGAGCUCCCUUAACUAGUUGAUGACUAAACAAGAGUAGUGGACAGAGGGAAACAGGAUCGUUCUCAGGUAUCAUUAGGAAUUGUUUCAAGGAGGAAAAAGUAUAAGGUUAGGUUUCUUAAUGCCAGAGGCAGUUUGACAGAGAUGGAUAAGGAGGUUAGUGACAACUCUAUGGACUCUACUCUUGCCAAUGUCAAUGGAAGGUUGGAAAAUUGGCAACUUGUACUGAACCCACAAUAGUCUAUAGCUCUGAACGAGAGGUGGCAGCUACACAUCACCUUGGCAAGGUUUUAGGGAUUCAUAGAGAUACUAAUGAUGGUUUGGUUGCUGAACAUAUUCGGAGGCAGAUUGAUACGAAAUAGAAGGAAUGGUUGGACUCCCUCUAAGUUCUUGCUCUGGUGCCCAGUUUAUGAGUUUUGUUCUAAUCUUAAGCAGAUGCUACCAUAGAAUUAUAGAGAUUUAGGCAGUCUUUGUAGAAGGGGGGCUGCGCAAAAGUAUGUUAGUUCCAAUGAUAUUGAAGCUUUUUGUUUCUUGGAAACUAAAAUUUCUAAUUAUACGAACACCUUAGUCAAAAGUAUUUGGAGUGGGUCUAAACUGGAAUGGUAUAGUUUCUUAGCAAUUUUAGCAAUGUUAUUGUAUGUGUGUUAAAUAAACAUUAUUGCAUGCAUCACUUAUAAAGUAUUUUUAUUUUUGAACAAGAUGUCAUAGCAUGUGAUGUUAUAAAUCCUGAUCACAUAGAUGUGGAAUUUGAAUUAAUUGGAGGACUGGAAUCUAUCAAGCAAGCUUUGUAUGAACUGGUGAUUCUUCAUCUGCGGAAACCUGAGCUCUUCUCACAUGGGAAACUUCUUGGUCCACAAAAGGGGGUAUUGUUAUAUGGACCUCUCUGAUAAUUGAAGCAAGUUGCUGCUGUUUUUAGCCUGACUUGUAAACUCCAGCCUGCUAUUAUAUUUAUGGAUGCGGUUGAUAGUUUUCUAGGGCAGCUUCGUACAGAUUGUGAGUUCUUACUCUUGAAACAUAUGCUGCAUUUGUGCAGUCUUCUUAUACAGUGACUUGCUAGAAUGUGUUUAAUGUAAGAUUUG